UACGAAGGGGGCUAGCGUUGUUCGGAAUUACUGGGCGUAAAGCGCGCGCAGGCGGCUAUCCAAGUCAGUGGUGAAAGCCCGGAGCUCAACUCCGGAACUGCCAUUGAAACUGUUUAGCUUGAGGAUGAGAGAGGUGAGUGGAAUUCCCAGUGUAGAGGUGAAAUUCGUAGAUAUUGGGAAGAACACCGGUGGCGAAGGCGGCUCACUGGCUCAUAUCUGACGCUCAGGCGCGACAGCGUGGGGAUCAAACAGG
rnacentral:rRNA from 1 species